AAAUGCUCCUGUACCAAGGACCGGACAGAGCUCAGCCACGCUACACUAGAGGUGCAUCUUAUAGGGCGAAAAAUAAGGCACUUGCUUGCUCCUCCUCCCGACCUUCCCUGCCCUUUGCAUACGCAGCGUGCCGUGACUUCACGCGGAGGCACUGAAUCUUGGAGACCUGGAAAUUGGUGUCCACUGACAGUCCCCUUCCAACCUGACAGAGCUUGAGAGGAUCUGUAGACCAGCAUUGUAGAACAUCCAAAGGAGGGAGGCUGUAAUCACUGAUAAAGGUGCUUCAAACAAGUACUGAGUAAAAGGUCUGAAUACUUAGGUCAAUGCAAUGUGUUUUCCAUUUUCAAUAAAUUAGAUUUUAAACGUU